UACGGGGGGAGCAAGCGUUGUUCGGAUUUACUGGGCGUAAAGGGCGCGUAGGCGGCCGGCGCAAGUCAGUUGUGAAAUCUCCGGGCUUAACUCGGAACGGUCAACUGAUACUGCGCGGCUAGAGUGCAGAAGGGGCAACUGGAAUUCUCGGUGUAGCGGUGAAAUGCGUAGAUAUCGAGAGGAACACCUGCGGCGAAGGCGGGUUGCUGGGCUGACACUGACGCUGAUGCGCGAAAGCCAGGGGAGCGAACGGG
rnacentral:rRNA from 1 species